GNUGAUGCANCAUGCCGCGUGUGUGAAGAAGGCUUAGGGUUGUAAAGCACUUCAGCGAGGAGGAAAGGAUUAAAGUUAAUACCUUUGAUCUGUGACGUUACUCGCAGAAGAAGCACCGGCUAACUCCGUGCCAGCAGCCGCGGUAAUACGGAGGGUGCGAGCGUUAAUCGGAAUUACUGGGCGUAAAGCGUGCGUAGGCGGGCUACUUAAGUUGGAUGUGAAAGCCCUGGGCUCAACCUGGGGAACUGCAUCCAAAACUGAGUGGCUAGAGUGCGAGAGAGGAGUGUGGAAUUCCUGUGUAGCGGUGAAAUGCGUAGAUAUAGGAAGGAACACCAGUGGCGAAGGCGACACUCUGGCUUGACACUGACGCUGAGGUACGAAAGCGUGGGGAGCAAACAGGAUUAGAUACCCUGGUAGUCCACGCCGUAAACGAUGUCUACUAGUUGUCCGUUGUCUUGUACGAUGGGUAACGCAGCUAACGCGAUAAGUAGACCGCCUGGGGAGUACGGCCGCAAGGUUA
rnacentral:rRNA from 1 species